GGGUCAGUAGUUUAGUCGUGCCACCGGUACGUACUGGUCUCACUGAUUCCUCCUUCCUGAAGAACCGUAAUGCCAUUAAUUUGGUGUUGCGGGGAAACAGGACUGUUACUUUGAAAAAGUUAUAGUGUUUAAAGCAAGCUAACGCUUGAAUACAUUAGCAUGGAAUAAUGAAAUAGGACGAUCGAUCCUAUUUUGUUGGUUUCUAGGAUUGACGUA
rnacentral:rRNA from 1 species